rnacentral:rRNA from 1 species
AGUGAACGCUGGCGGUAGGCCUAACACAUGCAAGUCGAACGGCAGCACAGUAAGAGCUUGCUCUUACGGGUGGCGAGUGGCGGACGGGUGAGGAAUACAUCGGAAUCUACUUUUUCGUGGGGGAUAACGUAGGGAAACUUACGCUAAUACCGCAUACGACCUACGGGUGAAAGCAGGGGAUCUUCGGACCUUGCGCGAUUGAAUGAGCCGACGUCGGAUUAGCUAGUUGGCGGGGUAAAGGCCCACCAAGGCGACGAUCCGUAGCUGGUCUGAGAGGAUGAUCAGCCACACUGGAACUGAGACACGGUCCAGGCUCCUACGGGAGGCAGCAGUGGGGAAUAUUGGACAAUGGGCGCAAGCCUGAUCCAGCCAUACCGCGUGGGUGAAGAAGGCCUUCGGGUUGUAAAGCCCUUUUGUUGGGAAAGAAAAGCAGCAGGUUAAUACCCCGCUGUUCUGACGGUACCCAAAGAAUAAGCACCGGCUAACUUCGUG